rnacentral:rRNA from 1 species
CGGCUAAUACCGCAUACGUCCUGUUGUCGUGGAGAUGGUGGGGAGAAAGAUUUAUCGCUCAAGGAGGGGCCCGCGUGGGAUUAGCUAAUUGGUGAGGUAACGGCUCACCAAGGCGAUGAUCCCUAGCUGGUCUGAGAGGAUGAUCAGCCACACUGGGACUGAGNCACGGCCCAGACUCCUACGGGAGGCAGCAGUGGGGANGUAUUGGACAAUGGGGGCAACCCUGAUCCAGCAAUGCCGCGUGAGUGAUGAAGGCCUUCUGGGUUGUAAAGCUCUUUCGCCCGCGACGAUGAUGACGGUAGCCGGGAGAAGAAGCCCC